UAGGGAAUCUUCGGCAAUGGGGGGAACCCUGACCGAGCAACGCCGCGUGAGUGUAGAAGGUUUUCGGAUCGUAAAGCUCUGUUGUUAAGGAAGAACGAGUGUGAGAAUGGAAAGUUCAUACUGUGACGGUACCUAAUCAGAAAGCCACGGCUAACUACGUGCCAGCAGCCGCGGUAAUACGUAGGUGGCAAGCGUUAUCCGGAAUUAUUGGGCGUAAAGCGCGCGUAGGCGGUUUUUUAAGUCUGAUGUGAAAGCCCACGGCUCAACCGUGGAGGGUCAUUGGAAACUGGAAAACUUGAGUGCAGAAGAGGAAAGUGGAAUUCCAUGUGUAGCGGUGAAAUGCGCAGAGAUAUGGAGGAACACCAGUGGCGAAGGCGACUUUCUGGUCUGUAACUGACGCUGAUGUGCGAAAGCGUGGGGAUCAAACAGG
rnacentral:rRNA from 1 species